rnacentral:tRNA from 1 species
GGAGAGCUGUCCGAGAGGCCGAAGGAGCACGAUUGGAAAUCGUGUGUAUCGAGAGGUACCGGGGGUUCGAAUCCCCCGCUCUCCG